rnacentral:misc_RNA from 1 species
GAUGAAGAACGUAGCGAAAUGCGAUAAGUAAUGUGAAUUGCAGAAUUCAGUGAAUCAUCGAAUCUUUGAACGCACAUUGCGCCCCUUGGUAUUCCGAGGGGCAUGCCUGUUCGAGCGUCAUUAUAACCCCUCAAGCUCAGCUUGGUGUUGGGGCCUGCUGCACUGGCAGCCCUUAAAAUCAGUGGCGGCGCCAUCUGGCUCUAAGCGUAGUAAUUCUUCUCGCUAUGGAGUCCUGGUGGAUGCUUGCCAUCAACCCCCAAUUUUUCUAUGGUUGACCUCGGAGCAGGUAGGGAUACCCGCUGAACUUAAGCAUAUCAAUAAGCGGAGGA